AUAUUUGCUGAUGACUGAGGAUGCCUUAAGGUCAUGAUGUAGAGACAAGUCCGGGAACCAUAUCUGUUUUAGAAGUGUGGAUAUCAAAUAUUGCUCAUAGCACUUUCUUUCAUGAAUUGAGCAAACUGUAACCUGAUCUUUAAGCCACGGAAUUUGUCUUAUUGCCCCAUGAUUCUCUCUUGAUUUGCUUAUUUCAGUUCACUCUUGAAGAUGAUAGAGUCUUCAAUGAGAGAAGGCAGCAGUAAACAGCCCAGAGUCUGAUAAAAGAAACUGAAUAGAAGAACACUGUCUGUAACUGAGCUGACUGCCACAGAUAGUCAGAGAUGCAAAAGAACUCAACUAAGGUUAAGGAUUUUUCCUAAAAUGAAAAUCAACAUCCUAAAGAAUGCUACAAAUGAUACAAUGCUUUGAACAUAAUACCGAGACAGGAAGAAACUGGGUAGGUCAGUAUUAUCUUCUUUUUCUGCAUAUGCUUCAUAAAAUGAAUUAACUACUGUAGAAAAAGAUAAUAAAAAUCAAGGUGACUAAA